GUGCUCGAAAGAGAACCGUAACACAGGUGCUGCAUGGCUGUCGUCAGCUCGUGUCGUGAGAUGUUGGGUUAAGUCCCGCAACGAGCGCAACCCUUGCCAUUAGUUGCUACGAAAGGGCACUCUAAUGGGACUGCCGGUGACAAACCGGAGGAAGGUGGGGAUGACGUCAAGUCCUCAUGGCCCUUAUAGGUGGGGCUACACACGUCAUACAAUGGCCGGUACAAAGGGUAGCCAACCCGCGAGGGGGAGCCAAUCCCAUAAAGCCGGUCGUAGUCCGGAUCGCAGUCUGCAACUCGACUGCGUGAAGUCGGAAUCGCUAGUAAUCGUGGAUCAGCAUGUCACGGUGAAUACGUUCCCGGGUCUUGUACACACCGCCCGUCACACCAUGGGAGCGGGUCUCGCCAGAAGUAGUUAGCCUAACCGCAAGGAGGGCGAUUACCACGGCGGGGUUCGUGACUGGGGUGAAGUCGUAACAAGGUAGCCGUAUCGGAAGGUGCGGCU
rnacentral:rRNA from 1 species